rnacentral:rRNA from 1 species
CCUACGGGAGGCAGCAGUGGGGAAUAUUGGGCAAUGGGCGAAAGGCUGAACCAGCAACGCCGCGUGAAGGAAGAAGGCUUUAGGGGUGUAAACUUCUUUUGACAGGGAAGAGCAGAAGACGGUACCUGUCGAAUAAGCCAUGGCUAACUACGUGCCAGCAGCCGCGGUAAUACGUAGGUGGGAAGCGUUGUCCGGAUUUACGGGGUGUAAAGGGCGUGUAGCCGGGCGGACAAGUCAGGUGUGAAAUCCGGGGGCUCAACCCCCGAACUGCAUCUGAAACUGUGUGUCUUGAGUAUCGGAGAGGCAGGCGGAAUUCCUAGUGUAGCGGUGAAAUGCGUAGAUAUUAGGAGGAACCCCAGUGGCGAAGGCGGCCUGCUGGACGGCAACUGACGGUGAGGCGCGAAAGCGUGGGGAGCAAACAGGAUUAGAUACCCGGGUAGUC